rnacentral:rRNA from 1 species
GCGCAGGAAAAGAAACCAACAGGGAUUGCCUCAGUAACGGCGAGUGAAGCGGCAAAAGCUCAAAUUUGAAAUCUGGCGGUUUUACCGUCCGAGUUGUAAUUUGUAGAGGUAGCUUUGGGUAUACAGCCAGGUCUAUGUUCCUUGGAACAGGACGUCAUGGAGGGUGAGAAUCCCGUAAAUGGCUUGGCCAGUGCCUAUGUAUAGCGCCUUCAACGAGUCGAGUUGUUUGGGAAUGCAGCUCUAAGCGGGUGGUAAAUUCCAUCUAAAGCUAAAUACUGGCGAGAGACCGAUAGCGCACAAGUAGAGUGAUCGAAAGGUGAAAAGCACUCCGGAAGGAGAGUUAAACAGCACGUGAAAUUGUUGAAAGGGAAGCGCUUGAGACCAGACUCAGGCAGGGUUGAUCAGUCUCCAUUCUUGGUGAUGCACUCUUCUCUGUCCGGGCCAGCAACAGUUUUGACGGUGGUAUAAAGGUUUAGGGAAUGUGGCACUCUUCGGGGUGUGUUAUAGCCCUAUUCGUAAUGCUGCCAGUUGAGACUGAGGACCGCGCUUCGGCUAGGUUGUUGGCAUACUGGUCUUAAGCAACCCGUCUUGAAACAAAGACCAAGGAGUCUAACAUCUAUGCGAGUGUGGGUGUGAAAAACGGCCAGAUUUAAUGUUGGAGAUGUACCUGAUUGCUCGCACUUACGGAGGCACUCCUGUGUUGUUUUUUUUCGGGCGCUGAUGCACUAGAGACCGCCGCCUGCCGGCUGGAAGCUUGACUCUGGCCAUCGUUUUACACGGCGUGACUGGAAACCCCCCGAGA